GAGAGAGAGAGAGAGAGAGAGAGAGAGGAGCUACCCACGAUAGCUGCCGUCGAAGCCAGGCUCGUCGCCGUCACCACCCACGAAGCUGCGAGGAGCCGCUGUCGUGCUCGUGUCGCUGUGCGCCGUCGAGCUGCCCUCACCCUGAGCUGUCGAUCUGUUGCCACCGCUACAAGGGCUUGUCGCUGGAGCCACGACUGUCAAUGAGCUUCCGUCGCCACUGCCGUUCAAGCCGCUGCUGCCGUCGAUUUGGAGUUGCUGCGAUUGGAGCCACUAGUGGGGGUGAGUUGCUACUUCCCUGUUGCCGUCCUAAUCAUAUUCAGCGUCCACUGCCCUGAGCUAUUUCUGCCCUUGAGUUCGUUGAGUUCGGAUUCCUUGUGCUACUGUAACUGUCAUUACUGCUGUGGGAACCAACGUUUCUGUUUGGCUGCUGUUGAAGGUCUUCCACCAUCACUGGAGCUGCCCAGAAUCAUCGUGGAAGCUGCCAAGAUAUAUGUUAUCUGUUUUGAAGCAUGAAAACGAAGCAUUAUCAAAUGCAGAAAAGCGAGCAUCUGAUGAGGUUCAUAGUUUAUCUGAAAGGGUGCAGCGCCUGCAGGCUAGCCUAGGUACCAUACAGAGUGCUAAGGAAGUUCGAGAGGAACAAGUAAAGCUGCAAAAUUCUUGAGAGCCAAUUGAAUUUCUCUUUUCAAAGUACCAGAAGAAACAGCAGAGCUACUUGGGAAAUCUGACCUGUAUUUCUUUAGCCCUGAGCAUCCUCCAUUGACCGAACCAGCUCAGAAAGCCCUUGACUGGGCCGGAUGAGAAAUUGAAGUCAGGAUUUUGGGAACUCCAACUGAGGAGCAAUGGCCGGGAGUUACUUUGCUUCGUGAUUGGCAUACCUACCCAAAGUGGGAACCUCAGAACUUGGCGAGGACUGUGCCAACUUUGGGACCUGAUGGAGUAGACCUUCUCACGAAAAUGCUCUAGUAUAAUCCUGUUGAGAGAAUCUCUGCCAAGGCAGCACUUGAUCAUCCUUACUUUGACAGUCUUGACAAGUCUCAGUUUUAACAGCAGAUACUGUCCAAUGCUUUUGUGCAGAUGUUGUAUGUCAAUGAUAGUGAUAUAUGGAAGUAAAUGAAAGUUAACUCCUGGCAUGGAAUUUAAGCACAUGUGAGAUUGAUGUUGUUUGGUGUUAAGUAAAAGUUUGUCAUCAUCAUCUUGGUGAUAUGACCAGCUAAGUAGAAACUCUACUGAACCUUUAUCACUCUGUAUUACUCAUGUAGGCUGUGCAUGAUCACCAUUGUCCUUGUGUACUUGAAAAAAUGUCCUUGUGAGAUGUAUGAAUUUUUACAAUUAAUUUCA